UGGAUAAUUGGUGGCCAAUGUUGGUAUAUAAGUCUUGAAUCAUGACUGUAGCCCUGGGAGUCUGAAGUUUAC